rnacentral:rRNA from 1 species
UACGUAGGAUCCAAGCGUUAUCCGGAUUUAUUGGGGUUAAAGGGUGCGUAGGCGGUUUGUUAAGUCAGGGGUGAAAGACGGUAGCUCAACUAUCGCAGUGCCCUUGAUACUGAUGGGCUUGAAUACACUAGAGGUAGGCGGAAUGUGACAAGUAGCGGUGAAAUGCAUAGAUAUGUCACAGAACACCGAUUGCGAAGGCAGCUUACUGUGGUGUCAUUGACGCUGAGGCACGAAAGCGUGGGGAGCAAACAGG